AGAGUUUGAUCAUGGCUCAGGACGAACGCUGGCGGCGUGCUUAACACAUGCAAGUCGAACGGAAAGGCCCCUUCGGGGGUACUCGAGUGGCGAACGGGUGAGUAACACGUGGGUGACCUGCCCUGCACUCUGGGAUAAGCCUGGGAAACUGGGUCUAAUACCGGAUAUUCCCUUCUGGCCGCAUGGUUGGUUGGGGAAAGCGUUAUGUAGCGGUGUGGGAUGGGCCCGCGGCCUAUCAGCUUGUUGGUGGGGUGAUGGCCUACCAAGGCGACGACGGGUAGCCGGCCUGAGAGGGUGACCGGCCACACUGGGACUGAGAUACGGCUCAGACUCCUACGGGAGGCAGCAGUGGGGAAUAUUGCACAAUGGGCGCAAGCCUGAUGCAGCGACGCCGCGUGAGGGAUGACGGCCUUCGGGUUGUAAACCUCUUUCAGCGCCGACGAAGCGUAAGUGACGGUAGGCGUAGAAGAAGCACCGGCCAACUACGUGCCAGCAGCCGCGGUAAUACGUAGGGUGCGAGCGUUGUCCGGAAUUACUGGGCGUAAAGAGCUCGUAGGUGGUUUGUCGCGUUGUCCGUGAAAUCCCACGGCUUAACUGUGGGCGUGCGGGCGAUACGGGCAGACUAGAGUGCUGCAGGGGAGACUGGAAUUCCUGGUGUAGCGGUGGAAUGCGC
rnacentral:rRNA from 1 species